AGUGGCGGAUUUAACCAGCACGGGCGUGGAGAGAUCUCCUCGCCCGUGCACGCAUGUUAAGGGCUGAAAAUUAC
rnacentral:sRNA from 1 species